UACGUAGGGGCGAGCGUUGUCCGGAAUUAUUGGGCGUAAAGGGUUCGCAGGCGGUCUGAUAAGUCAGAUGUGAAAGGCUAUGGCUUAACCAUAGUAAGCAUUUGAAACUGUCAGACUUGAGUUAAGGAGAGGAAAGUGGAAUUCCUAGUGUAGCGGUGAAAUGCGUAGAUAUUAGGAGGAAUACCAGUGGCGAAGGCGACUUUCUGGACUUAUACUGACGCUGAGGAACGAAAGCGUGGGGAGGCAAACAGGAUUAGAUACCCUGGUAGUCCCU
rnacentral:rRNA from 1 species